rnacentral:rRNA from 1 species
CUACGGGGUGCACCAGUGAGGAAUAUUGCACAAUGGGGGGAACCCUGAUGCAGCAACGCCGCGUGGAGGAUGACGCAUUUCGGUGUGUAAACUCCUUUUAUAUGUCAAGAAAAUGACGGUAGCAUAUGAAUAAGCACCGGCUAACUCCGUGCCAGCAGCCGCGGUAAUACGGAGGGUGCAAGCGUUACUCGGAAUCACUGGGCGUAAAGGGCGUCGUAGGCGGGUUGGAAAGUCAGGUGUGAAAUCCUACAGCUUAACUGUAGAACUGCACUUGAAACUUCUAAUCUAGAGUAUGGGAGGGGGAGAUGGAAUUAGUGGUGUAGGGGUAAAAUCCGUAGAUAUCACUAGGAAUACCUAAAGCGAAGGCGAUCUCCUGGAACAUUACUGACGCUAAGGCGUGAAAGCGUGGGGAGCAAACAGGAUUAGAUACCCCGGUAGUC